rnacentral:rRNA from 1 species
GAGUUUGAUCCUGGCUCAGAUUGAACGCUGGCGGCAGGCCUAACACAUGCAAGUCGAGCGGUAGAGAGAAGCUUGCUUCUCUUGAGAGCGGCGGACGGGUGAGUAAUGCCUAGGAAUCUGCCUAGUGGUGGGGGAUAACGUUCGGAAACGGACGCUAAUACCGCAUACGUCCUACGGGAGAAAGCGGGGGACCUUCGGGCCUCGCGCCAUUAGAUGAGCCUAGGUCGGAUUAGCUAGUUGGUGAGGUAAAGGCUCACCAAGGCGACGAUCCGUAACUGGUCUGAGAGGAUGAUCAGUCACACUGGAACUGAGACACGGUCCAGACUCCUACGGGAGGCAGCAGUGGGGAAUAUUGGACAAUGGGCGAAAGCCUGAUCCAGCCAUGCCGCGUGUGUGAAGAAGGUCUUCGGAUUGUAAAGCACUUUAAGUUGGGAGGAAGGGUAGUAACUUAAUACGUUGCUAUUUUGACGUUACCGACAGAAUAAGCACCGGCUAACUUCGUGCCAGCAGCCGCGGUAAUACGAAGGGUGCAAGCGUUAAUCGGAAUUACUGGGCGUAAAGCGCGCGUAGGUGGUUCAGUAAGUUGGAUGUGAAAUCCCCGGGCUCAACCUGGGAACUGCAUCCAAAACUGCUGAACUAGAGUACGGUAGAGGGUGGUGGAAUUUCCUGUGUAGCGGUGAAAUGCGUAGAUAUAGGAAGGAACACCAGUGGCG